UACGUAGGGGGCUAGCGUUGUCCGGAUUUAUUGGGCGUAAAGAGCGCGUAGGCGGCUAGGUAAGUCAGCCGUGAAAUCUGGAGGCUCAACCUCCAGCGGUCGUUGGAAACUACUUGGCUAGAGUCCGGAAGAGGAGAGUGGAAUUCCUGGUGUAGCGGUGAAAUGCGCAGAUAUCAGGAAGAACACCGAUGGCGAAAGCAGCUCUCUGGGACGGUACUGACGCUGAGGCGCGAAAGCGUGGGGAGCGAACAGG
rnacentral:rRNA from 1 species